rnacentral:rRNA from 1 species
CUACGGGUCGCAGCAGUGAGGAAUAUUGCACAAUGGGGGGAACCCUGAUGCAGCAACGCCGCGUGGAGGAUGACGCAUUUCGGUGUGUAAACUCCUUUUAUAUGUCAAGAAAAUGACGGUAGCAUAUGAAUAAGCACCGGCUAACUCCGUGCCAGCAGCCGCGGUAAUACGGAGGGUGCAAGCGUUACUCGGAAUCACUGGGCGUAAAGGACGCGUAGGCGGGUUGGAAAGUCAGGUGUGAAAUCCUACAGCUUGACUGUAGAACUGCACUUGAAACUUCUAAUCUAGAGUAUGGGAGGGGGAGAUGGAAUUAGUGGUGUAGGGGUAAAAUCCGUAGAUAUCACUAGGAAUACCUAAAGCGAAGGCGAUCUCCUGGAACAUUACUGACGCUAAGGCGUGAAAGCGUGGGGAGCAAACAGGAUUAGAUACCCCGUAGUC